rnacentral:rRNA from 1 species
UUUUGCAUGGCGAAUUGUAGUCUAUGGAUGCGCUAUCAGUGCAGCCGCGCGGGCCAAGUUCCUUGGAAGAGGACAGCAUGGAGGGUGAUACUCCCGUUCCUGCCUGUGCGUGUUGUGCGUACGAUGCGUUUUCUUUGAGUCGCGUUGUUUGGGAAUGCAGCGCAAAGUAGGUGGUAAAUUCCAUCUAAAGCUAAAUAUUGGUGCGAGACCGAUAGCGAACAAGUACCGUGAGGGAAAGAUGAAAAGAACUUUGAAAAGAGAGUUAAAGAGUACCUGAAACUGCUGAAAGGGAACCGGGUCGUUGCCAGUGUCUAUAAUCUGCGGCAUAUUUCAUUGUCGGAUGCGGCCGUGCGGCGCGUUUGGUAGUGGGUUCGUCCUGCACCGCGUGUUGCUGUGGUUGUGUUUGGUGGUGCCCUGUGCUGUGGUGGGACGUCAGAGUCAGUUCGUAUGCUGCGGGAAAUGGCUGCUGGGGAGGUAGGUCGGGGGUUCGCCCUCGGCUGUUAUAUCCUGGUGGACUAGUCGUCGUGGUUGGGACUGAGGUGCCUACAACGUGCUUUUGAGUGUGGAGGUUUCUUCGUUUGCGCGUCGGUUGGAUAGCUUGCUAUGCAGUUGGCGUUGUGUGCGGAUGGAUGUCUUUGCUAACUUGUUGCCGUUCGGGACUUUGACGAAAUGGCGCGAUCCGACCCGUCUUGAAACACGGACCAAGGAGUCUAACAUGUGUGCAAGUGUUAGGGUGUGGAAACCCGAGCGCGAAAUGAAAGUAAAGGGCAGUGUAUGCUGCCUGAGGUAGGAAACCUUUGCUCGUCAGGGGUGGCACUAUCGACCGAUCAUGAACCUUCGUGGUGAAAGAUUUGAGUAUGAGCACAUAUGUUGGUACCCGAAAGAUGGUGAACUAUGCCUGAGUAGGGUGAAGCCAGGGGAAACUCUGGUGGAAGCUCGUAGCGAUUCUGACGUGCAAAUCGAUCGUCAAACUUGGGUAUAGGGGCGAAAGACUAAUCGAACCAUCUAGUAGCUGGUUCCCUCCGAAAUUUCCCUCAGGAUAGCAGCAACUUAUUUACGAUAGUUUUAUGAGGUAAAGCGAAUGAUUAGAGGA